CCCGACCCCUGCGAUUAUUUAUGACAACUGCGAGGCCCCGCUCAGAGAAAGGUGCAAUGAGGUUUAGUCCCGCACCCCCGAAGCCCCGGAUCGCCCGGGAACGAGAAAGGACGGAUCCGUCGGGGCCAUUCCUUCGGGGCUUGAGGUUUACGGGUGCCGAGCAUUAAAAAAAAAAAAAAAAAUCGGGAAAACCCCCCUUUUGUGGUUAUUUCCAAAUGUUUCUUUAUUGCAGAGCGAUAUUCCAGAGCGGGGAUCUCCCACUCGGGGAAAACGCGCCCUAAGGGCGAGGAGUGUUUUCCUCCCUCCUUUGGGUCCGCGGCAAUGGGAUCCCGCGGUGGGGGUGCGGAAGAUGCGCUUUGGGUGCGGGCUGUAGCGGAGCGCGGAUCGCCGGGGGACGUGGAGCACCUCGGGGUCAGAGCGAAGCGUUCCCAGUCCUAACCACGAAGCGUUUUGGACUUAAAAGAUACAAAGCAGAGGUGUGACGCCCGCGGAAAGCGUGAGCGGCAGUGAGUGUUCAAUGUAGCAGGUGAGGAAGGUAGAACCUUCCCUUCCCAUUGAAAAUGUGGCAUUUCCUCUAUUUUAAUAACUAAGACAACUUCGGUAAUGAGGGAUUCGGUAACGCCGAGUUCGGUAAGCAGUAAGGCAGGGCUCGGUGAGCGAGCCAGGGAUGUACGACUUUACCAAGAUCGCAAAACGAGAGUGCUCUCGAGCUGGAGGCUGGGUGAGACCCCCACGUCCCCGGGGCAAAGCGCCAACGGCCCAAAGACAAAAAGCCAAAAGCCAAAUGCCAUCGCCGUCCCCUCUCGGGUCCGGGAAUCGCGUGGGCAUCGGGGAACAGAGCAAAUCUCAGCCUGCCUCUGCCGACUUUCAUGAGGUGCUGGCGUUUCGGGGGAAAAUAAUAACAAAUUCCGUCUUCCCGCAGGUUGGUUUGGUGUUUGCAAGCAUGUGUCCUUCUGCUCUUGCUAGGGAAGCAGGAUGGGCGAGGAUCGGGGCUCAGGCGGUGCCCGCCGGGCGGAGCUGGGAACAACUCGCAGCCGCGGACAGCCCGUUCCCGCUGCCACCGGCCCUGGGAGCGACUUUCUCGUUAUUCCGACCGCCUUUCGCCCCGGAUUUCUGGGGCAGCCGGAAGGAAUUUGCCUUACCCGCGUUCGGUUUUCCAUCACCCGAAGGGAUGGCGUGAAGAGCCCGGCAAACUCGCCGGAGCCUCCCGAGAGCGCGAAGGGUUAAGGAAAGCCGUUUGUCUGCUCAUUAUCGGUUUCUCUUUACUACUGAGAACCGAACCCGAGCUCCGCUCGUAUCAACGUGUCCUUAAUGCCUUUUCCAGUCAUUGAUCUGGUCAAAGUCACCGCAGAAAUACUAGUGACAGAGACUCAAUUCCAGACAACGUGACCAAUGCAAGUAUUUAGAAGGCAUUCAAUAAAAAAACCUUUCCCGGAGAGCGAACGAUUUCACCUUGCAACAAAGAGCGCUCGGCUAAUUGAAAUAAUGCACUCGGAUGUGCGGCCGGGCCGGGAGCCGGCGGGGGAGGGGCUGCUCGGUGCGGGGCCGGGGAGCCCCGGGGGGGGCGAGGAGACGCAGCCCGGCGCCCGAAUCCGAACGGCCGUCAGGAGGGAGCUGCAGGGCCGAGCGACCGCAGCUCGUAACUGGAAGCGUCUGCUCCCAUCCCUGCCUUCUUCUCACCUUCUUCGUAAUCGAUUCGAUGUUGGGAUUAUGUUUAUUUUGCGGAUCUAUCAGCCCCCAGACGCCCCUUAGGAUCUGAUUCAUCUCUCGCGCUAGGUUUAAUUCAGCAGCUACUCGCAGGUAGAUUAAAAUAAAUGUAAUAAAUGUGAUGUAUAGUU